GAGUUUGAUCCUGGCUCAGAACGAACGCUGGCGGCGUGGAUUAGGCAUGCAAGUCGAGCGCGAAAGUUCCCUUCGGGGAGCGAGUAGAGCGGCGAAAGGGUGAGUAACGCUUGAGCAAGUUACCUCUAGGCCUGGGAUAGCCUCUGGAAACGGGGGGUAAUACCAGAUGGUCUCGUGAGCAUUGCGAUGCACACGAGUAAAGGUGGGGAUCUUCGAACCUGCCGCCGAGAGAGACGCUCGAGUCCUACCAGCUUGUUGGUGCGGUAACGGCGCACCAAGGCGAAGACGGGUAGCCGGGCUGAGAGGUUGGCCGGCCACACUGGCACUGAGACACUGGCCAGACUCCUACGGGAGGCUGCAGUCGAGAAUCUUCCGCAAUGGACGAAAGUCAGACGGAGCGACGCCGCGUGGAGGAAGAAGGCUUUCGGGUUGUAAACUCCUGUCAGAGUUUAAGAAAGCGGGGGGGCUAAUACCCACCCCUGUUGACAAAGGACUCAAAGGAAGCCACAGCUAACUUCGUGCCAGCAGCUGCGGUAAUACGAAGGUGGCGAGCGUUGUUCGGAUUCACUGGGCAUAAAGGGCGCGUAGGCGGUUUGGAAAGCGGCGUGUGAAAGCCCGGAGCUCAACUCCGGAACUGCAUGCCGAACUUCCGGACUAGAGGACAGGAGGGGAGUGUGGAACUCUAGGUGGAGCGGUGAAAUGCGUAGAUAUCUAGAGGAACGCCGGUGGCGAAAGCGACACUCUGGCCUGACCCUGACGCUGAGGCGCGAAAGCGUGGGUAGCAAACAGGAUUAGAUACC
rnacentral:rRNA from 1 species